UUCCCAGUCUAGGGGUUGAAUCAGAGCUGUAGCUGCUGACCUACACCACAGCCACAGCAACGCCAGAUCCAAGCUGAGUCUUCCACCUACACCACAGCUCAUGGCAACUCCGAAUCUUUAACCCCUGAGAUGGGCCAGAGAUAGAGCCUUACGGAUACUAGUUGGAUUCAUUUCUGCUGAGCCAUGGUGCAGGAACUCCCCAUUCAAAUUUAAACAUAUAUUUACAAGCAAGUGGGAUAUAAGAUACAACUCUGUGUACAAAAUAAUAUUCACAAUAAUUUGGAGCGUGAUAAUAUUAGUGUGUUUAAUAAUUUUCAGUGCAAUAACAUUAGUGUGUUUUUCCUUCAUGAAUGAUUUUCUUCAGUGUUCCACCAAGGAUGUCUGUCCCUACACAUAUGAGUUACCUCAUGCUUGGAGGUAAGGGGAACACAGAGGAACCUGAAAACCAAAAGGGCAUAUUCUUUUUUUUUUUUUUCUUUCCUUUUAUAGCCAGACCUGUAACAUAUGGAAGUUCCCAGGAGGCUAGGGGUCCACUCAGAUCUGCAGCUGCCAGUCUAUGCCACAGCCACAACAACAACAGACCUGAGCCUCAUCUUGGGUUCUUCCUGCCACUAGACUGGACUAAAGACUCAGGUUGGGAGAAGAGAAGAGGAGGGACCCCAUGACAGAAACAGAGAUGGAACAACCCCGGACAUCUGCCUGGAGCAGGUGCUAUCAAUCACCAGCUAAGUGGAAACCUGGCUCCCUCACUGCCAUCUGCUGAUAGUGACCAAUCAAUAGCAACUUCCACAUCACCCAGGAGUUGCCCAGGAGAGGAGGUGUUCAUUUCAUCUCUGUCCCAAGAAUUUUCUCAGCUCCUCAUACAACCCACUUCAUGUCAGAAACGGUCCAGAGCACUUGAAGGGCCACACACACACACACACACACACACCCCACACACACAUACACACCUGUACUAAGUAGAAAAUAGUGUCCUGCAGACACAAGGGUAGUGUAGGGGUUAUCCCCACAUAUGUUUGAGGUGAGACUAGAUAGAACCAGUAUAAAAUUUCCCACCAAGCUAGCACUGGGGCACAUGGGACACUCAUAAACACACACACAGAUAUUCACCUCCAUGCCUACCCCUUAUAUUUUUACCCCUUGGACUUCAUAUAGAGCUUCACAAACUACAUUAAUAAACCAAAGGCAAGUUUUUAGAGAGAAAAAAACUCACCUUCUUCAAAAAUACAAUAGAAUAUUUACUCUGAAGAACUGACUUAGAAUAAUAUCAAGGUCUCAUCUGAAGUAGUUAUUAUAAUAAAAAUUCUGAGUACAUCCUCCUUAUUUAUCAAAUGUUUGGCACACUUUAUUGAGAUCAAGGAGCACUUCUGGAGCCAGAGGAUGCCGGGCACAGAAGGGCUAAACACUGACACCCACUGACUUGGUGGGGGAGGGGGUGUUGGAUGGUGUUAGACAAUGCCCGAGCAUCAGUGUUUCUGCCCAACAAGGGAUCUGCUUUCUAUUUAUUCAUACUCCAAUCCUUCUGGCAAGAGGCAAGCAGGAUUAAACCCAUUUCACAUCUCUGCAGCAAGAGCUGAGCACAAUAAUGACUGACCAAAGCCUGGACCAUAAAGAUGAGGUAAAGGCAGAGGGGGCAAAAUCCUGCAAGUAUAUGAACAGCCGAAGUCCUAAGGGAGUAGGGAAAAUGAAGUGAGCUGCACAGCCACGCACGUUGGAGAAAUCAAACAUCACUCUUUCACUUGACCAUUAAUUCCUAGGCACGCUCAUGCUUCAGGAAUACUGCACUGUGGGAACAGAAGUCACACCAUCAGCAGCUGUUGCCCUCAUAGAGGUUAGUAUCAAGUACAAACGACACAGUCAGCAAAGCAAUUACAAUACUGUGGAAUAUAAGCUGGUGGGCAGGGCAGGCCUCCCUGGAGCGCCCUGUUAUGGAAACACCCUGGAGAUAGACAGGACAUAGUGCAGGGUGGAGAGUGGCAGGUAAGGACACUUACCUUCAGAAGUAACUUCUAAGCUGACGCCUAAAGGAUAAGUAAGUGUUUUGCAAGUAAAGGCGAUUUGAUGAGUGAAUCAGGCAAUUGGAACACUCAGAGCUUCGACACUAGAGGACCAAGAGGAAGAGCAAAUCCGUGGACAUAUAUGGUUAUGUCCCACAAUUUUGUGGGUUUGAUGUUGAUGCCUUUGUUGCUGUUGUUCAUUACGGCCCACAAUGAAGGUUUCACAUGAAAAUUCAGAUUUCUGACUUCUCUUGAAAUUCCCUCUAGUAACAGUUGGCUAGAACUGAACAUGAUUGCUCCUUUAAACUGAGCCUGAUUUGCCCCA
rnacentral:lncRNA from 1 species